rnacentral:rRNA from 1 species
GUGAGGAAUUUUCCGCAAUGGGCGAAAGUCUGACGGAGCAAUGCCGCGUGAAGGAUGAAGGCCUAUGGGUUGUAAACUUCUUUUCUCAGAAAAGAAUUAUGACGGUAUCUGAGGAAUAAGCAUCGGCUAACUCUGUGCCAGCAGCCGCGGUAAGACAGAGGAUGCAAGCGUUAUCCGGAAUGAUUGGGCGUAAAGCGUCUGUAGGUUGUUUAAAAAGUAUUCUGUCAAAGAUUAGGGCUUAACCCUAGAUAGGCAGAAUAAACUUUUAAGCUAGAGUUUGGUAGAGGCAGAGGGAAUUCCCGGUGGAGCGGUGAAAUGCGUAGAUAUCGGGAGGAACACCAAAGGCGAAGGCACUCUGCUGGGCCAAUACUAACACUGAGAGACGAAAGCGAGGGGAGCAAAUGGGAUUAGAUACCCUAGUAGUCC